rnacentral:rRNA from 1 species
UGCGUAGGCGGCGCGGUAAGUCGGGUGUGAAAUCUCGGGGCUUAACUCCGAAACUGCAUUCGAUACUGCCGUGAUUGAGGACUGGAGAGGAGACUGGAAUUUACGGUGUAGCGGUGAAAUGCGUAGAUAUCGUAAGGAAGACCAGUGGCGAAGGCGGGCCUCCGGACAGUUCCUGACGCUGAGGCACGAAGGCCAGGGGAGCAAACG